rnacentral:rRNA from 1 species
AGUGAACGCUGGCGGUAGGCCUAACACAUGCAAGUCGAACGGCAGCACAGUAAGAGCUUGCUCUUACGGGUGGCGAGUGGCGGACGGGUGAGGAAUACAUCGGAAUCUACUUUUUCGUGGGGGAUAACGUAGGGAAACUUACGCUAAUACCGCAUACGACCUACGGGUGAAAGCAGGGGAUCUUCGGACCUUGCGCGAUUGAAUGGGCCGAUGUCGGAUUAGCUAGUUGGCGGGGUAAAGGCCCACCAAGGCGACGAUCCGUAGCUGGUCUGAGAGGAUGAUCAGCCACACUGGAACUGAGACACGGUCCAGACUCCUACGGGAGGCAGCAGUGGGGAAUAUUGGACAAUGGGCGCAAGCCUGAUCCAGCCAUACCGCGUGGGUGAAGAAGGCCUUCGGGUUGUAAAGCCCUUUUGUUGGGAAAGAAAAGCAGCAGGUUAAUACCCAGCUGUUCUGACGGUACCCAAAGAAUAAGCACCGGCUAACUUCGUG